UACAGAGGGUGCAAGCGUUAAUCGGAAUUACUGGGCGUAAAGCGUGCGUAGACGGUUAUUUAAGUCAGGUGUGAAAGCCCCCGGCUCAACCGGGGAGGGUCGGUGGGGACUGGGCGACUUGAGGACGGCAGGGGCUGGUGGAAUCCCCGGUGUAGUGGUGAAAUUCGUAGAUAUUGGGAAGAACACCGGUGGCGAAGGCGGGGACCUGGUCCGUGACUGACGCUGAGGCGCGAAAGCGUGGGGAGCAAACAGG
rnacentral:rRNA from 1 species